CAGAUACUUCCUUUUAAGAAUUGGUUGGGUAAUUAUGAGGAUGUCUGUCUGAAGGACCACCGUUGCCACAAGCAGACAAGGAUGGAAGGAGUGAUUGUGUGACCAGUGCUGCACCGUCUUGACUGCCAGACGUUACCCUCUAGGCUGCUUCUCCUUGUGAGUCCCUCAGCGGGAACACUGUCCAAACUCAGAAGGAAGGAAGGAAGGGAAAGGAACACAUUUACAGACACUCCUACUCUUAUACUGAUUACCUCUGUCUCACGUUAUAAAUUCUCAGGCUGUGGCACUUGUGAAAACCCACCAGAGCAUUUGCGUUUCUUUGUCCAGCAUACAUUUAAUACAUGUUUCUCCAAAAGCCAGUCACGUGUGCACCGGACAACGUAAGAUUGUCUCGCAGGUGAUUCAACCGCAGACAAACAGGUCUUACACAUGUAUGUCCUGUAGGACGUAGUUCGGCAGAGAUGAAUGAGUGUUAGCAGAAAAUAGGCCUAAAGGCAGCCUCAUUAUCUAGUUAUUUUAAAUAUCCUAUUACUCCAAUAAAAGUAUUA